CUGAGACACGGCCCAGACUCCUACGGGAGGCAGCAGUGGGGAAUUUUCCGCAAUGGGCGAAAGCCUGACGGAGCAAUGCCGCGUGGAGGUGGAAGGCCUACGGGUCGUCAACUUCUUUUCUCGGAGAAGAAACAAUGACCGUAUCUGAGGAAUAAGCAUCGGCUAACUCUGUGCCAGCAGCCGCGGUAAGACAGAGGAUGCAA
rnacentral:ncRNA from 1 species